rnacentral:rRNA from 1 species
AGAGUUUGAUCCUGGCUCAGGAUGAACGUUGGCGGCGCGCCUAACACAUGCAAGUCGAGCGAGAAAGCUCCUUCGGGAGUGAGUAAAGCGGCGAACGGCUGAGUAACACGUGAGAAUCUACCCUUCAGUGAAGAAUACCUUUGAGAAAUCGAAGUUAAUGCUGCAUAAUCCCCUUCGGGGGCAAAGGUGGCCUCUUUGGUGCCGCUGAAGGAUGAGCUUGCGGCCUAUCAGCUAGUUGGUGAGGUAAAAGCUUACCAAGGCAACGACGGGUAGCCGGCCUGAGAGGGUGUUCGGCCAGACUGGAACUUAGACACGGUCCAGACUCCUACGGGAGGCAGCAGUGGGGAAUCUUGCGCAAUGGGCGAAAGCCUGACGCAGCGACGCCGCGUGGAGGAUGAAAGUCUUCGGAUUGUAAACUCCUGUUAAGUGGGAAGAAA